rnacentral:rRNA from 1 species
GAUGAACGCUGGCGGCGUGCCUAAUACAUGCAAGUCGAGCGAACAGAUGAGGAGCUUGCUCCUCUGACGUUAGCGGCGGACGGGUGAGUAACACGUGGAUAACCUACCUAUAAGACUGGGAUAACUUCGGGAAACCGGAGCUAAUACCGGAUAAUAUAUUGAACCGCAUGGUUCAAUAGUGAAAGACGGUUUUGCUGUCACUUAUAGAUGGAUCCGCGCCGCAUUAGCUAGUUGGUAAGGUAACGGCUUACCAAGGCAACGAUGCGUAGCCGACCUGAGAGGGUGAUCGGCCACACUGGAACUGAGACGCGGUCCAGACUCCUACGGGAGGCAGCAGUAGGGAAUCUUCCGCAAUGGGCGAAAGCCUGACGGAGCGACGCCGCGUGAGUGAUGAAGGUCUUCGGAUCGUAAAACUCUGUUAUUAGGGAAGAACAAAUGUGUAAGUAACUAUGCACGUCUUGACGGUACCUAAUCAGAAAGCCACGGCUAACUACGUG